AUGGCUGAUCGACGUUGCUUGUCUGAGCGACAAGGCCAUCAUCUGCAAUCAAAUGGUGCAAUUGAUCUUGAAGUUGAUGGUGGGACUACAGGUCUUCAUCCAGAAAUAGGAAUCACAAAAGGUAACUCUCGAGCCAAAUGGAGUCACCAAAUGAAGCUGUACCUUAUUAAACUCCUAAAAGAUCACGAUGUGCCUGGUUUUCGGACGCAGAAUGCUUGGAGCAAGGAGGCAUGGAAUAAUAUUCUUCAUCAACUCAAUCAAAAGUUUGACCAGUCAUUUACUCUCAACCAAGUCAAACAGAAGGAGCAAGAUCUGAAGAGAGACUAUCAUACUGUGAAAAAGUUGUUGGAUGUGAGUGGCUUUGGAUGGGAUAAGGACAGAAAAAUGGUAGACGCACCUGAUAGUGUUUGGGCAAGCUUUACUGCUCGUACGAACAGCAAGGAUGCUCUCCAAUGGAAAGAAAGAUCAUUUCCCUUUUAUGAAGAAUUAGCUCCACUCUAUGAAGGUCGUUAUGCUGAAGGGAGAACUCGCCAAGGCAUGGACCAUUAUACUAGCAAGAGGAAGUAUGCACCAGUUCCCUUGUCACAGUUGACACCGAUGGCUGAUCUCGAUCAAUCACCAUCACCUACUAUGCCGGUUACUGGUGAGUCGGACAUGCGGUUUACUUUAGAUGAAGAACUUGAGGAAACCAACUUGGAUUCUCCCCCGCAUCUAUCUACACCUAUUCAGCAUGUGCAAGCCCCUCCAAGAUCCACACAAAUGGAGAAACAUGACACUAGGCGUGGGAAAAAACAGAAGCGUAGUGCUACUGAUGACUUCCAUGAGAAGUAUUUAAAACUGAAGAAGGAAGAAAUUGAUCGAUUUGCUGCCAUUGAGGAAAAGAAGCUAGAGGACCCCUACAGCAUCAACAAGUGUAUCACAACAAUUGAAGGCUUGGAAGGUCUACAACUAGGAGAUAUGCUGAUGGCAUCAGAUAUCUUCAAAUGUAAGGAGAACAGGGAAGUUUUCUUGUCCUACUCUACUAAUGAACUACGGUUGGCUUGGCUUAAAAGAGAGAUUGCACGUGCCCAAAAAAAUGAUCAAAAUUAG
rnacentral:rRNA from 1 species